rnacentral:rRNA from 1 species
CACCAGGUUGAUUCUGCCUGACGUAGAUGCUAGUUUCUAAGAUUAAGCCAUGCAUGUUUUGUGAACUCAUACGAGGGAACGACGAACGGCUCAGUAAUGUUGCGCUAAUUUGCUCUAGACGAGAAAGAUAACCACGGUAACCUGUGGCUAAGAGUUUAGAAUAAGGUGCAAUCCUAUCAGUUUGUUGGGAGUGUAAAGGACUCCCAAGACGUUAACGGGUAACGGGAAAUCAGGGUUUGAUUCCGGAGAGGGAGCCUGAGAGAUGGCUCCCAUGUCCAAGGACGGCAGCAGGCGCGAAAA